GUUUCCACCUAGGACUACAGGCUCAAGAUGGCCUGGUAGAUGCAGCCGGCACGCACCUCUCCUCUGACGGGAACCGAAGGAGCCGGUAGGUUUUCACACUUGCAGCAGAUCCGCUAAGAGAACGCGGGAUUCAGCCGAGAAGCCACGGGGAGCCCGAGGAGCGGAGCAGAGGCACCCAGGCAGCCUGCGCGGAGAAAUUGGAUCGGCGGGGACGGCCUGCAGCUCCCGCGCGCGGGGAAAGGGAAGAAGUCCUCCCCUACAAAGCAAAUUCACAAACUUGGAAGAAGCAAUUUACACAGGAUGUGCAGAUCUCAAUGGAAGGACACGGGAAACGUGAAAAAGCAAGGAAGUGGGACGCCUCCAAAGGAACCCAGUAAUUCUCCAGCAACAGAUCCCCAUCCAAAAGAAAUUCAAGAAAUGUCAUAUAGAGAAUUGUGGAAACUGAUUUUAACCAAGAUUAGAGGGAUUCAAGAGACUUCUGAAAAAGAAAGUAAGGAAAUGUCAACAGCAAUUCUGGAUAUGGUUGAGGUAUUUACCAACCAGAUACAGAGUUUUCCAGAGCACAUGGCAAAUGUGGAACUGAAGAAAUCACUGGAUGAAAUACAAAGUAUACUCGAAAGCUUCAAUGAUAGACUAGAUCAAGCAGAAAAAAAACUCUCAAAACUUAAAAUCUGAAGGCUUUUACUCAAUUCAAAUAUUUAAUGGGUUGUACUCUGGCCAUUCAGGUGAACAAAAUCUGCUGGGUUAAUUUUUUUUUUUUUUUUUUUUUUGAGAUGGAGUCUCGCUCUGUCGCCCAGGCUGGAGUGCAGUGGCGGGACCUCGGCUCACUGCAAGCUCCGCCUCCCAGGUUCACGCCAUUCUCCUGCCUCAGCCUCCUGAGUAGCUGGGACUACAGGUGCCCGCCACCACACCCGGCUUAUUUUUUGUAUUUUUAGUAGAGGUGGGGUUUCACUGUUAGCCAGGAUGGUCUCGAUCUCUUAACCUCGUAAUCCACCCGCCUCGGCCUCCCAAAGUGCUGGGAUUACAGGCGUGAGCCACUGCGCCUGGCCUUGGGUUGUUAUACUGGGGUCUUGAAUAAUCAUUAAAGGUGAAAUGAAA